CCUACGGGUGGCAGCAGUGGGGAAUAUUGGGCAAUGGGCGCAAGCCUGACCCAGCAACGCCGCGUGAAGGAAGAAGGCUUUCGGGUUGUAAACUUCUUUUCUCAGGGACGAAGCAAGUGACGGUACCUGAGGAAUAAGCCACGGCUAACUACGUGCCAGCAGCCGCGGUAAUACGUAGGUGGCAAGCGUUAUCCGGAUUUACUGGGUGUAAAGGGCGUGUAGGCGGGAAAGCAAGUCAGAUGUGAAAACCAUGGGCUCAACCUGUGGCCUGCCUUUGAGACUGUUUUUCUUGAGUGCAGGUGAGGCAGACGGAAUGCCUGGUGUAGCGGUGAAAUGCGUAGAGAUUAGGAAGAACACCAGUGGCGAAGGCGGUCUGCUAAUCAACAACUGACGCUGAGGCGCGAAAGCGUGGGGAGCAAACAGGAUUAGAUACCCGAGUAGUC
rnacentral:rRNA from 1 species